rnacentral:lncRNA from 1 species
UUAGUGUCCGCAGGGCGGAAAGAGUUAAAAUACAAAAUCUUUAAAUAUAUAUGACCUUUCCUGCAUUUUUUAGUUUCAUUCCUUUAAUACUACCACUGACGAUGGAAUUAUUUGGAAACACGUCAUUGUUUUCUAACGAAUUUAAGUUUUACAGGGAACUAUUUCUCGCGGAAGAACAAGGUUAGUAUGAACGGACUAUAAAAACACGUCAUAGAAGGUAUUGUUCGUAGUGUGUUGGUCUGUGUUGUUUAUCGUCUAGAAAAUAUUGGAAUCAGUCGGAUAGACACUUUUUAAAUGGUUAAUUGAGCAAUAUUAUUGUCUUUUGAAGAGGAUUUGACGUAAAUAAAUGAGUGAUAAUCCAAGUAAGUACGCCAAAAUGGACGAUGGUAGCCGAGCUGUGAGUUGUUAAGUGGUGACCAAACAAGCAAUCAAAUCUCACAAGUGUCCAACCAGAAAUCAAAGCUAGUGUUCGCGGAGUCUUAUUUCACGCUUGAAACAGUGUUUGAAACAUUGGGAUAUGUGGAGAAAACACUGUUUGUCAAAGAAUUUUUCGACUGCCAGCCCUGGUUCCAAUAACUGCAUCACGUCGAUUUGUAAAGACUAGCAACAUGGACAUGCUAAAGCAAUUCCCUCUUGGAAAUCACGAUGACUAUAACUUUUAUAUCGGAGUCUCGACCUAUGUGUGCACUUGAAACUCUUUGCGUUCAUUUAGCGCUCUGUGAAUGGAUGAUCACGUAAAAUGAUGUCAAAGAAGCGUCCGGCCAACUGUGGCUGGAGUUGUUCUAUUCUGACGGAGACAUUCUUUCAAAGGUCUCAUCUCCAGCUCGUUACCCUAUGGCGGUCCAUCUUUUCCCUAUUGAUACUGAAACCUCGAAGGCAUUACUUUCUCAAAUAACAUCUGUGACCAGAUCUGGAUCUCUCUUCCAGGACCAUCGUGGAUUGAUAUUCUUUCUACCGAGAGGUACAGUACUUAUCCACCAUCGAUUGUCAACAUGGGAGAAACUUGGAGAAGAAAAGACGGACGAAAUCGACGAAGCCGAAUUUGGACGAAGUAGGUACAAUAGGGGAAGGAUGAUCAAAGGUCAGUGGAUUUUUUGGGUAUCGAGUGGGAGACUCGACUCACCCUUUUAGUACCAGUGGAAAUACGUGACGGCGAGACCUCGUUCGCGGUCCUGAAGAAGUGGGUGCUUCCCUGGACAAGUUAUAAGUGAUUGCUGGAGGGCGUAUGAUUGCCUUCAGAAUGAAGGCUUUCAGCACCUGACAGUAAAUAAAACUUAGUUCUGUUGAUUCCCGGACGAAGACCCACACCAAUACCAUCGAGAGGACGUGGCGUGAGGUCCGCUCGAACAUUUCCCGGUAAGGAAGGAGGGCUCACAUGAUCGGAUAUUUGGCCGAAUUUCUUUUUAAGGCCAGAUAUUCGAAAUCGACGAAAAAUAAAAAACUGUUUCCUUCAGGCCUCUGAGAGUCUUUACCCCCCCCCCCUGAAUACUAACCAGUUCGCGGCGCUUUGCUCGCAACGUUUCCUUUAAAAAACAGCUCUUUUUUAGGGCCAUAGUUUUGUAGAUAUUGUAAAUUAUUGUGAAUAUUAUAGUUUAUUUUAAAGCUUAUUGUGUAAUUUUGAAUUGUUACAUUCAUAAAGAAAGUAUUAAGUUGUGAAAGUGUUAAAACAGUGUCUUUACAUUAAAGUUACAUUGUCAAAUUUUAUAUCUUACUCUUUACAUCGUCCUGAGGUAUUAAAUAAAAUAGACACUUUAAUUUUAUUACCGAAAAAUUUCUUGAUUUUUUUAUGACCGCCUGAAUAUAAACUUGGACUUCCAAAGUAGUAGACCGACACCUCUUCUGUCUCGCUAUUUAAUAGACCAGCGCUGUCCAACUUAUCAUAGCCUGCGGGCCAUAUUUUCUUCACCAAACAUUUCUGGGGCCAAGAAGGUUGAUGAAUGAAAAGGGAUUGCUGCUGUAUUCAGCCAGGUUAAGUGAAAGUUAUGCAAACUAAAUAGUACCUACUUUAAAUUCAAAUUAGAUUUAAAUUUUCACAUAGUAAAAUAAUUUUAAUAUUAUUAAUAAUAAUUUAGUAACAAAUUUAUUCAUAGUAAAAUGUACUCGCGUGUCGCCAGUUGGACAGCCCUGUAAUAGACCCACUGAUACCCACUGAAAAAAUUCAAAAUAUUUAAGUUAAAAACGUUGGUAAUUUGGAACUUACAAAAAUAUAUUCGGCUUAAUAAGAACAGUCGAAAAUUUUGGUUUGAAAUUAUGAACGAAUCAACGUUUGUCGCUUUUCACCUGAGAAGGUUUAUAGAACUUCAGGAUAUAUUAACUCGUAUUUGGAUUAUUUUAAUUGCAUCAGUUGGAUUGUAUGUUGUUGUGAUUUAUCGAUAUAUAUUUUCACCAUAUAUCAGUUAUAAGUGGUCUAUAACAUUAGGUAUUUCUAUGUUUCCAGGUAUAAUUUGCGAUAUAUACAUUGUAUUAUAUAACAUUGCUUUUAUUACUUUUCUCAUUCUUUUCGAAUUACAUAAGAUAUAAUUGUUUGCAAUAAUUCACCGAAUAGAUAAAAAAAAUCAAGAUAGUUCUUUCAAACUUGUCUGGCAAUGUUUACCAAAGUGCAAAGCCACUCUUAAAUUUUGUAAUGAUAUUCAAAAUAACUAUUCUAUUACAGCUGCCUCUUGAUAGUCCGACGUUUUUUAAUCCGACAUGCUCAGUAGUCCGACGCACAUCCUGUCAAGGUAACCGUAGUCCCCGUCCUCGUUACGUGUCUGCUUGCACAGAAGCAUGUCGCGACAUGAAUUUUCCCACCCAAUUCUUACACGAUAACCCAGAUUUCGUGUUUUCCGUAAGCAGUUCUGUUCGAACAGUUGGAGUAGGGAAUAUUGUAGGUUAGUGCUAGCAAAACAAUGCUAAAUAUGUAAUCACUUUCGGUAAUCCGGACACUUUUGGUAAUCCGACACCCCUUUGGUCACAUUCCUGUCAGAUUAUCAAGGGACAGCUGUAUUUUGGCCAUUACACUAUUUCUUGUUGAAUUUUUACUUGGAUCGCUUGUAAUUACUCCUAAGUUACUGUUUGUUAAGUGUGUACUAUGAAUAUUAUUAGUACUCAUAGUGGUAGUCCUGCUAUACUUGUAUUAUUUAUCGACGACGACAUAUCUAAGUAGAUAAGUAUAGUUAUUUUAAUUAACGUUAAUAAUAGUAAAGAUUUUGAUUACACUUUCUAUUGAUAUAAUAGUUUUAUAAUUUUGUAAAUUAACAUCAAAGUAAUUAUAUCUUGUAUAAUAGCGUUAUUUUUUUCUGCUGUAUGAAAUAAAAAUAGAAAUAAAAGCAUUAUUUCUAUUCUCUGUCACAUAGGUCCCCUUUUCAGCGAGGGUAAUCUGCAUGUGCUGAAUAGCCUAGCUGAAAACGGUGACACAGAAAAACAGGACGAGACAGGAUAGUAUCUGAAGAAGUUGCUCCUGCGGAUAGUAUCUUAUGUCACCCAGAUUGAUAGGCUGAAUUUCUAACCGUUUUGCCCAUUUGAAGAAACAAUACCGAUAUGUCCCAGGAGCUUUCAUUAUUUUUACGUAUUUAUGAAUAUUUCAUUUGAAAUAAUUUAAUUUAUAAUAUUUUGAAAUUAGUGAUAUGUGGUACGUUCAAAACAUCCGCGGAAAACAUUGUUAAGGCUAAGAUAUGCAUUGUUAAUACAAAAGGCAACAGUCUUUUGUAUUAACCCUAUAUAUACUUACACAGCAUUGCCCUCAAAAUGUACCGUUUCUGCUACAACACGUUUUAUCCAGCGGUCACACAGUUUGAAAACCUCAUUGGCGGUCACUCAAGGUGCAGUUGAGCGACGAUCACCUUAUCAGCGUUGACAAAUUUGCGGCUUUUCAUGUUUUUAUUCAGCUCAAGUGGAGGUUAUCAAGGAAACACGGUUUUAGAAGGACGAUCUGUAGAGAAGUAUCUGAGUAAAUAUUCAAUCACAGUUGUAAUUGGAAUGCUUACUGAGAUAACUCUGUACAAAAAGAAAUUAACGAGUCGGUGAGUUAUCGUGAUGUAGCACCCGGUUUCUCAAAGCUCAUCUGCUUGCUUGCCCAUAUAAACGUCGAAUUUGUUGAUGUACAAUUCCUAGUUCACAGUUAUCCGUUUUGGAAUGAACCGACAAUGUACAGUACAAUACAGCGUUAAAGAGUUAAUGUUGUAACUGUAAGAAUCCGAACUUUACAAAAAUGUAAUCGUCGAUGACGCCAUACUUGCAUAAUUGUUGUCCUCAACUACCAGUGAAACUCUCUACUUACACUUUCCCGACGACGAAAGCGACGCAUUCCCGUGAUCCGCUGACUAUUUGGGCAGGCGAUAACAAAGAAAUAUUAACGUUGUCGGCCGAAGAGUGAGUCUUUGCCGUUCCUUCCAGAGUAAAGUCAGUACAGUCGACUCCCUAUAAGAUAGAGAUACGUUCCAUUCUCUAGGAAUCCGCUUUCUUACGAAUCCUUCCAAUCACAACCCGACACGUGUCAAGUUUACGGACUACGGCUGUUUG